UCUCCGUUGGUGAACCAGCGGAGGGAUCAUUACCGAGUUAUCAACUCCCAAACCCCUGUGAACAUACCCAACGUUGCUUCGGCGGGACCGCCCCGGCGCCCUCGGCGUCCCGGAACCAGGCGCCCGCCGGAGGACCCGAACUCUUGUUUAAACCAUAGUGGCAUAUUCUGAGUCUCACAAGAAAAAUGAAUCAAAACUUUCAACAACGGAUCUCUUGGCUCUG
rnacentral:misc_RNA from 1 species